rnacentral:rRNA from 1 species
GUUGAUAAGGUUAAGUGAAUAAGGGCGCACGGUGGAUGCCUUGGCACUAGGAGCCGAUGAAGGACGGGACUAACACCGAUAUGCUUUGGGGAGCUGUACGUAAGCUAUGAUCCAGAGAUUUCCGAAUGGGGGAACCCAACAUCUUUAAUAGGAUGUUACGAUUGUGUGAAUACAUAACACAUUCGAGGUAGACGCAGAGAACUGAAACAUCUAAGUACCUGCAGGAAGAGAAAGAAAAUUCGAUUCCCUGAGUAGCGGCGAGCGAAACGGGAAAAGCCCAAACCAGCAAGCUUGCUUGUUGGGGUUGUAGGACUCCAAUAUGGUAGUUCUUUCAGAUAGUCGAAUGACUUGGAAAAGUCAGUCAAAGAGGGUAAAAACCCCGUAGACGAAAUGUGGAAGACACCUAGGAGGAUCCUGAGUACGGCGGAACACGAGAAAUUCCGUCGGAAUCCGGGAGGACCAUCUCCCAAGGCUAAAUACUCCCUAGUGACCGAUAGUGAACCAGUACCGUGAGGGAAAGGUGAAAAGCACCCCGGAAGGGGAGUGAAAUAGAACCUGAAACCGUGUGCCUACAACAAGUCAAAGCCCGUUAAUGGGUGAUGGCGUGCCUUUUGUAGAAUGAACCGGCGAGUUACGAUUGCAUGCGAGGUUAAGUUGAAGAGACGGAGCCGCAGCGAAAGCGAGUCUGAAUAGGGCGUUUGAGUAUGUAGUCGUAGACCCGAAACCAUGUGAUCUACCCAUGUCCAGGUUGAAGGUGCGGUAAAACGCACUGGAGGACCGAACCCACGUACGUUGAAAAGUGCGGGGAUGAGGUGUGGGUAGCGGAGAAAUUCCAAACGAACUUGGAGAUAGCUGGUUCUCUCCGAAAUAGCUUUAGGGCUAGCCUCGGAAUUGAGAAUGAUGGAGGUAGAGCACUGUUUGGACUAGGGGCCCAUCUCGGGUUACCGAAUUCAGAUAAACUCCGAAUGCCAUUCAUUCAUAUCCGGGAGUCAGACUGUGAGUGAUAAGAUCCAUAGUCGAAAGGGAAACAGCCCAGACCACCAGCUAAGGUCCCAAAAUAUAUGUUAAGUGGAAAAGGAUGUGGGGUUGCACAGACAACUAGGAUGUUGGCUUAGAAGCAGCCACCAUUUAAAGAGUGCGUAAUAGCUCACUAGUCGAGUGACCCUGCGCCGAAAAUGUACCGGGGCUAAACAUAUUACCGAAGCUGUGGAGUACACCUUUAGGUGUAUUGGUAGGAGAGCGUUCUAAGGGCGUUGAAGGCAGAUCGUGAGGACUGCUGGAGCGCUUAGAAGUGAGAAUGCCGGUAUGAGUAGCGAAAGACAGGUGAGAAUCCUGUCCACCGAAUGACUAAGGUUUCCUGGGGAAGGCUCGUCCGCCCAGGGUUAGUCGGGACCUAAGCCGAGGCCGACAGGCGUAGGCGAUGGAUAACAGGUUGAUAUUCCUGUACCCGUUGUUUUUGUUUGAGCAAUGGAGGGACGCAGGAGGCUAAGGAAUGCAGACGAU